CCAAAGCCCAGCCCGAGCGAGCCAGCCUACGCGCACAAGCACACGCACUCCCCUCCUUCUAUAGUACAUGUGCGAGGUGAAAGGGAAGCGACUGAUUUUUCCCGUCGAUCCGCCGGCGCCGCCGCUGGUUUCCCUCCCCUCCGCCGGCCGCUUCGGCGGCGGGAGGGUGGGGAAACCUCGGAUCCGCGCGUCCGGUGUGUAAAUAGCUUGUUUUGCCUGAUCGUCGUCAGUGCUAUGGGGGUGGCGGCGGCGGCGACAUGUUUCGUCCCACAGCUUUCCCCAUGGCGAUGCUCUCCUCCGGUGUGGCGUCGUCGAGCUCGUGGGUGGUGGUGGUUGGCCGGCCGGGGGUCGGCUGCCUGUCCGACGUGCUCCUGGUGGUGGCGGCUUACGGUGAGGUCGCCGUUGCCGAAGGAUUUUUGGUCGCUCGUUCCUUCUCCGUCCAAUAAAUCUUUGCUUGUUGUUGAUUUGUUGGGGAUUGAGCGGCGUGUAUCUCCUGCUGAUCUACGGAUCGAGCGGUGUCUCGGCCUUCCCCUCCGAUGGUGGCGCCGUCGGAUGGAGAAGUGAUUUUGGUCCUCACGGAUCUGUAGAUCCCGCGAGUUAUUGGAUUCUCAGGCAGGGCGGUGUGGCGGCUUCGCCGUCCUGGCGAUGUGAGUAUCUAUCUCCCCCUCCUCUUUGUUGUUGCGCCGGCGAAGUAUCCAUCGGUGGCGUGGAGGUGGGGUCCUGGAGUGUAGGAGGUGUUUGGUUGAGCUGCAGGUUUGAUUCCCUCUCAAGAGAUGCUGGUCGUCUUCUUCCUCUCCGGUUCCGUCCGUAGAGUGUCGUUCUCUCGGAGUAUGCUGAUGCCGUGGUUGGCUCUUGGUGUCGCCGCCGAUAUGCGUUCAUCGACUUGAGAUCCCGCCCGGCGUCGGGUGGCUCAUGCGGCUUCAAAACCUUUAUGGCGGGGGUUCCUGUACCCCUGAGGCGGCCUGUGGGCAUGGCGUCUUCUCCAGCUUCGGUGAGCUCCGGCGAUGGCGACGUGGUCUGCGCGUGUUCAGGCGAUGAGUGUUUCGGUGGCCGGCUGUGCUUUUCUGUUGUAUUUUCUUUCUGUUCAGAGGGUGUCUGUGUAAUAUUGUGCUAUGAAUAGAGCAGCUCUUUGUCUCAAAAAAAGCACACACACUCCUUCCUCCUCAUGGCCUCAAAUGGGCGACGCUAGGGUUUCGCCCAGCCCCAGCCUCGGCCGCCGCUCGACCUCGGCGACCGCCGCUCCUUGGCUCCGCGGCCGCCGCUAGACAUCCACGGUCGUGCCUUGACCUCCUUGGCUCCUCUGCCGCCACUCGACCUCCUUAGCUCCUCGGUCGCCGCUCGACCUCCACCACCACGCUUCGCCAACACUUGCUUCCCCGUAUCCGGCCCUUCAUUGAUAUGGACUCGUGCUCCUCAGCCCUCAUGGUGUUGUGCUACACGCGUGCUCCGCGGCCCCUCCUCCACGGUGUCAUACAGAAAGGACGAGGGCGAGUCCUGGUUACUGACGUGUGUGGGUGUGGAUGUGGGAACACACCUAUCAUAUGCCCUAGCAGUGCAAGCCUGAACACAUGUCAUAUGUUGGAGUAGAUGCAAGUAUAUGAAUGAUGAAUGGGUGCUGCCUUAAAUCAUCAGCACAUUAGUGGUGCCCGAUCAAAGUCAAACGCUCGCCCUGGACAACCCCGUUCGCCAAAGUGGUUACGCCGAGCUGUAGUUGCUGGGCGCCCAUCUAGCCGCUCUGCUGGGUGUGGCGUCACUCCUGUCCCCGGCAACAUGUACUUCUCUACCAGACAAAUUAACUUAGAUUGGGUUGCUGCAAGAGUUUUUAUUGUUGAUUUCGAAUGUUUUUUAAGGAGAAAGGUUAGUAAAUGAUGUUGUUUUCUACAAUGCAAA